CCUCACCCUCUCAUUCUCGUUUCUCCCUUUGCUCUCUCACGAUACUUUCUGGAAAAAUGAAAAGAAAAACGGAACAACUACAAGGUUCCUCUUCUCUUUCGAUUGCUCGACCCGCUCUCAACCACUCUCUCACGCGGUAUCUCUCUUAAGCUCGUGGUUUCUCGUCCUCUCUCGGUUGGAACAACAACAAACUAUGAUUCACCUCACUGAGCUAUGACAACAAUGGCGGCCAUGGAAGAAUCUUGAAGAACCCGGCUCACACUCUCGGUUUCUCACGGUGGAGGACUCUCUCUCUCAGUGAAUGAUUUUCGGCCAUGAGAGAAGAACCAGAGGAAAAAUCUAGGAACUAUAUUCAUAGCAGCAAUAACAUUUUGAGAGUAAAAGUGGAAUUGACUUACCUACGGCGAGGAGAUUUUCACCGGUUAUUGUUGAGGCUCCCUUUUUGAUGAAGAUGGGGCUACAACAUCUCUUCUUGGACUUGCGGGAAUUUUGGAUGAUCGGGAGACUUGAACCAAAGAUUCAAGUUGUUGAAGAUUGAAGGCUUGAAGAUGAAGAUCUUCAAGUUGUUGGAAGCUGCUAGUAAGGUAUGAAGUUCUUACUACAAGACCCUUUUUUUCUAUAUGAAAGAAGCUUUGAAGUGUGAGAACUUUGUGUGUGUUCUCCGAUUUUUUUCCAUGCCAUAUUUGGUUUGCCUCUCUUCUAUAUAUAGAGGAAGAAAUGAGGGACAUCUUUGGUCAUUUUGGCACCUAAGCUUAGUCCUUAAGCUCACUUAGUUGCUAAGUUUUCAUCAUUGCAAAGAAUAUUCUUUCCAAAAUAAUCAUUGCAAAAAUUCCUUGAAUGCUAAGUUUGCUUAAUAGACAAGUUCCACAAAUUUGUGCACAUGGGAGAAUAUGCACAUGGGAUGGAAAGAUCCUUUCAUAACUUCUUGCAAGUUCCACGACAUAGUGUUGUUUUUAUGUCAUAAAAAUUGGUAACUUCUAAGUGUGUAGUUAUGACAUAAAAUAUCUUUCUUUGACUUUUUGACUUUUUUGACUUUUUGACUUUAAUUGGGCUUUUGGGCCCUCUUGAAUUAUUUUGUUGGACUUUUGCUAAUUCUACCUCUUUUAUGUUUUUUUUUUUUUCAUGUCACAUGAGGACUCUUGAAGAAAACAUGAAGAAGGAGACUUGGAUGAAGAAUGGAAACUUGAAGAUUCAAGAAAGCAUUGGAUUUUCGCUUGUUGUAAUUCCAAUUCAUUCCACCUUAGAAUUGUAUGAAUUUGGACAUUGUAUUCUUGAGAAUCAAUGGAAAUUUGAAUGUUGUAACAUCUUGAAUUUUGAAUGAAGUCCACCUUGUAAUUCAUUUGGAAA